CUACAAUGGCGUAAACAAAGGGAGGCGAAGGAGUAAUCCGGAGCGAACCCCAAAAAUAACGUCUCAGUUCGGACUGUGGUCUGCAACCCGACCACACGAAGCUGGAAUCGCUAGUAAUCGCGAAUCAGAAUGUCGCGGUGAAUACGUUCCCGGGUCUUGUACACACCGCCCGUCACACCAUGGGAGCCGGUAAUACCCGAAGUCAGUAGUCCAACCUCGUGAGGACGCUGCCGAAGGUAGGAUUGGCGGCUGGGGUGAAGUCGUAACAAGGUAGC
rnacentral:rRNA from 1 species